AUUGAACGCUGGCGGCAUGCCUUACACAUGCAAGUCGAACGGUAACAGGUUAAGCUGACGAGUGGCGAACGGGUGAGUAAUAUAUCGGAACGUGACCAGUCGUGGGGGAUAACGUAGCGAAAGCUACGCUAAUACCGCAUACGAUCUACGGAUGAAAGCGGGGGAUCGCAAGACCUCGCGCGAUUGGAGCGGCCGAUAUCAGAUUAGGUUGUUGGUGAGGUAAAAGCUCACCAAGCCUGCGAUCUGUAGCUGGUCUGAGAGGACGACCAGCACACUGGAACUGAGACACGGUCCAGACUCCUACGGGAGGCAGCAGUGGGGAAUUUUGGACAAUGGACGCAAGUCUGAUCCAGCAAUGCCGCGUGCAGGACGAAGGCCUUCGGGUUGUAAACUGCUUCUGUACGGAACGAAACGGUGAGCUCUAAUACAGUUUGCUAAUGACGGUACCGUAGGAAUAAGCACCGGCUAACUACGUGCCAGCCGCCGCCGUAA
rnacentral:rRNA from 1 species